GACGAACGCUGGCGGCGUGCCUAACACAUGCAAGUCGAGCGAGUUGAUUCUCUUCGGAGAUGAAGCUAGCGGCGGACGGGUGAGUAACACGUGGGCAACCUGCCUCAUAGAGGGGAAUAGCCUCCCGAAAGGGAGAUUAAUACCGCAUAAGAUUGUAGCUUCGCAUGAAGUAGCAAUUAAAGGAGCAAUCCGCUAUGAGAUGGGCCCGCGGCGCAUUAGCUAGUUGGUGAGGUAACGGCUCACCAAGGCGACGAUGCGGAGCCGACCUGAGAGGGUGAUCGGCCACAUUGGGACUGAGACACGGCCCAGACUCCUACGGGAGGCAGCAGUGGGGAAUAUUGCACAAUGGGGGAAACCCUGAUGCAGCAACGCCGCGUGAGUGAUGACGGCCUUCGGGUUGUAAAGCUCUGUCUUCAGGGACGAUAAUGACGGUACCUGAGGAGGAAGCCACGGCUAACUUCGUGCCAGCAGCCGCCGUAACAC
rnacentral:rRNA from 1 species